GCCCAUUUAAAACCCUUUAAGCAGGUGGGGUCCAAUUGGGUCUUUCAUGAAUUGCCCGGUUAAGACACUCAUAAGAUUCUCAUAGAUCCCACUUAAAACCCAUCUAGGCAUCCACGGCUGGCCACCAUGUAGAUCCCGGGUGGAAACCCACUUAAAACCCCUUUGGGCAGGUGGGGCCCAAAUGGGUUUGGCAUGAAUUGCCCAGUUAGGACUCAUGCAGUACCAUUACAGGUCCCACUUUUAGUACGUCUGGGCUUCCCCCGGCUGGCCCCAAUGUGGUUCCCAGGUGCAAGCCCAUAAUGGGGCCCACAUUUGACGCCCAUGAAGCCCUCAUUUGGGCCCCACAUGUCAUUGCUGGCUGGGACAGAGACAGAGAUCAAGGCUGUCGUCAUAGAGGCCAUGAAGGAGUUGUCCGAAUUUUGUCACAGAGGACGUUUCUGGGAGUUUGGAAAAAUUUGUGACAUAUUGGACUCUACUAAUCCUCUUGCCAAGAUGAUUGCGGAGAUGCAGUCAAGGGGGUUGAUGAUUAAUAACUUACCUUCAGUCCUCCCAGAAUCAGCUCUAUCGACUACAUCUUCUGUGCCUCAAAGCUCUGGAGAAGGUGCAGAAAGUCCAUUGGAGCCUCCAAAUGAGCCCUUAUCUGACAAGAGCUCUGGAGAGUACUACCAGAGCACUGGUGGACUGAUGUUUACCUCUUCCGUGAGGGUGGAAGUGGUCAAAAAAGGCUUUUACAAUAAGCACUCCAUUGACCACUCCCUUCUAACAGGAUUUAAUAAGUACCUUUACAUUGAUCUAGGAUAUAAAAACAGCAAACAAGUAGUAAGUUCAUUAACCACUUAAACUCUGCGUGCCCGGUACCAGGGACAAAAUGACGUCAUCAGGAGAAUAACUAUAGAUUUAAGAGGUCUGCCUGCAUCUAUCAAUAACACCAUAUGACCUACUGGGUGAAAGCUUAGAAUGUCUAUUUUCAACUAUUACACGUCACUUUGAUAUUUGUUGUACUGUAAAGAAGUUAUUUACACUUAAUUUACAAUUAAUUUACACUAUCUCAAGCCCCCACUAUUUUGUACAUUGUUCAGUAUGCAUAUUUUUCACAUCGCUAAUAUUAAACACAGAUUGGCAAGUAAUACAUCAAAUUAAAGCUCUUAUUCCCAGUAAUAAUGAUCCAUUGCUAUUUUUUAUUAAUUUACAAUCACAUAUCCAACACUCUUUGAAUGAAUCAAAGUAUAAACUUGUUUUUUGUAAACAUACAAGAGAAAUUAUUGCUUAUUUGCUCCGUGAGCUGCCAGAUAUAGCACAGAUAGGUAAACAAGUUACAUCAUCUUUUACCUUAGGUUAUCCUCUGCAAAAUGAGUCCAUUUUCAGCAUUUCUGAGGAAGUGUGCAUCAGUAAACCCCUGCUGUGUCUUGUAAGUGCCAAACGCAACAAAUUAGGGUCAUGAUAUUCCAAAAUUUGGGAAAAUGAUAAAUUUAACCUAUCCAGAUGUACUAUAUAUCAUUGCAAAGAUGAGAUUCUCGGCUUUACACUGAUGUAGCCUUGAUCAGCCAUUCAGUGACUGAGAUAUUGCAUGACGAAUGGGAAGAGAGGUGUCCAAAACAAGAGUGCGUAAAAGCCACAGGUCAGACGCACAAUACCUUAGCAUGCAGACUCGUUCCAAAUGGCUUCUAAAAAAGGAAAGGAACCUCAAAAAAAGUUUUUUGUUGGGGCAGAGGAAGUUUUGGAGGAAUUAGAUCGAGAUGAUUCAGACUCUGAAAGUGACUCAAGUUUUGUUACGAUAAGGGAAGCUGCUUUUGUUGAUGGAAAGGAUUAUGACCUGGACAAGUAAGUACAUGUUUACCCAAUCCAAAUGUUUUAAUAUACAUAUUAAUAUAUUAUAUACAAUAUAUUUAUUUGUAUCAUAAUGUAUUGUUCAUGAUCACGCUUGCUAGAUGCCUUUUUUCCAUUAUCGCACACUGCGCCUCGUGCGCUGGCUUUUGUUGUUGUUUGUGUUCGUCACAACUGAAAUAGCGAGAAACGAGUAUCCAGAUGUUUACUAGCUUAUAUUAUAUAAGCUAACACAUGCAUAUAAACUAUGUUUGUUUGCGUUGCAGUCGUAGUUUAUCAUAUAGAGCAUAUAUAGAUAGAGACUGACUGACUGUUAAUUAGGCUAGCACAAAGGAAAAGAAAAGGUGGCUGGGUCAUGCCCUCGCCCUUGAGUUGAUGUGGGUUGAUGGCUGGCGAGUCAUCUGGGCUUCUUUGGAGUGCCUUUGGCUAGGACGUGUCUUGAAGGCAUCAGGUGAUCACCUUCCUAGAGUCUGGAUUUGUUGCUGUAAAAGCCCUUUGUGCAUCUGUGAUAGCUGCUCAUAUUCUGAAACAUAGUAUACAGGAAUGAGAGAAAGUAAUUCAACACCAUUAAUACCUUUUUUAAGACUCCACACAUUUAAAGACCUUUAAACCGCUUUUCAACCAGAAA
rnacentral:lncRNA from 1 species